rnacentral:rRNA from 1 species
GACGAACGCUGGCGGCGUGCUUAACACAUGCAAGUCGAACGAAGUGGCGAACGGGUGAGUAACGCGUAAUCAACCUGCCCUUCAGAGGGGGACAACAGUUGGAAACGACUGCUAAUACCGCAUACUGAAGGAGGGGAUUGGGUUUGAUUAGCUGGUUGGAGGGGUAACGGCCCACUAAGGCGUUGGUCAGUAUGCGGUCUGAGAUGUUGAACGGCAACAUUGGGACUGAGACACGGCCCAGACUCCUACGGGAGGCAGCAGUGGGGAAUCUGCCGCAAUGGACGAAAGUCUGACGGAGCAACGCCGCGUGAGUGAGGACGGCCGUCGGGUUGUAAAGCUCUGUGAAUCGGGACGCGGUACCGGAAUAGAAAGCCACGGCUAACUACGUGCCAGCAGCCGCGGUAAUAC